GGAUUAGAUACCCUGGUAGUCCACGCCCUAAACGAUGUCAACUAGCCGUUGGGUUCAUUUAAGGACUUAGUGGCGCAGCUAACGCGUUAAGUUGACCGCCUGGGGAGUACGGCCGCAAGGUUAAAACUCAAAGGAAUUGACGGGGGCCCGCACAAGCGGUGGAGCAUGUGGUUUAAUUCGAUGCAACGCGAAGAACCUUACCAGGCCUUGACAUCCUCGGAACUUUCUAGAGAUAGAUUGGUGCCCUCGGGAACCGAGUGACAGGUGCUGCAUGGCUGUCGUCAGCUCGUGCCG
rnacentral:rRNA from 1 species